rnacentral:rRNA from 1 species
UAACAAGGAUUCCCCUAGUAACUGCGAGUGAAGCGGGAAAAGCUCAAAUUUAAAAUCUGACAGUCUUUGGCUGUCCGAGUUGUAAUCUGGAGAAGCGUCUUCCGCGCUGGACCGUGUACAAGUCUCCUGGAACGGAGCGUCAUAGAGGGUGAGAAUCCCGUCUUUGACACGGACUACCAGUGCUUUGUGAUGCGCUCUCAAAGAGUCGAGUUGUUUGGGAAUGCAGCUCAAAAUGGGUGGUAAACUCCAUCUAAAGCUAAAUAUUGGCGAGAGACCGAUAGCGAACAAGUACCGUGAGGGAAAGAUGAAAAGCACUUUGGAAAGAGAGUUAAACAGUACGUGAAAUUGCUGAAAGGGAAACGCUUGAAGUCAGUCGCGUUUGCUAGGACUCAGCCUUGCCUCGGCUUGGUGCACUUCCUAGUAAACGGGCCAGCAUCACUUUUGGCUGCGGGAAAAAGGUCAGAGGAAUGUGGCACCUUCGGGUGUGUUAUAGCCUCUGGCUGUAUACCGUGGCUGGGAGUGAGGAUCUCAGCACGCCUCACGGCGGGGCUUCGGCCACCUUCGUGCUUAGGAUGCUGGCGU